rnacentral:rRNA from 1 species
CGGUCCAGACUCCUACGGGAGGCAGCAGUGGGGAAUAUUGCACAAUGGGCGCAAGCCUGAUGCAGCGACCGCCGCCGUGGAAGGGAUGACGGCCUUCGGGUUGUAAACCUCUUUCAGUAGGGAAGAAGCGAAAGUGACGGUACCUGCAGAAGAAGCGCCGGCUAACUACGUGCCAGCAGCCGCGGUAA